rnacentral:snRNA from 1 species
GAGUAUGAGCCUCACUGUUCAAGC